AUUGAACGCUGGCGGAAUGCUUUACACAUGCAAGUCGAACGGCAGCACGGGGCAACCUGGUGGCGAGUGGCGAACGGGUGAGUAACGCAUCGGAACGUACCUUUCAGUGGGGGAUAACGUAGCGAAAGUUACGCUAAUACCGCAUAUUCUGUGAGCAAGAAAGCAGGGGAUCGCAAGACCUUGCGCUGAUUGAGCGGCCGAUGUCAGAUUAGCUAGUUGGUGAGGUAAAGGCUCACCAAGGCGACGAUCUGUGGCGGGUCUGAGAGGAUGAUCCGCCAAACUGGAACUGAGACACGGUCCAGACUCCUACGGGAGGCAGCAGUGGGGAAUUUUGGACAAUGGGGGCAACCCUGAUCCAGCCAUGCCGCGUGAGUGAAGAAGGCCUUCGGGUUGUAAAGCUCUUUCGGCCGGGAAGAAAUCGCACGGGCUAAUACCCUGUGUGGAUGACGGUACCGGAAUAAGAAGCACCGGCUAACUACGUGCCAGCCGCCGCCGUAACAC
rnacentral:rRNA from 1 species